rnacentral:lncRNA from 1 species
UAAGACAUGAGAAAGCGAUUUUUUCAUGAGCUAGAAAUUAUGGUAUUUUUCUAACCAAAAAUUUAUUGAGACAUCAUAAUAUUGUUAAUAACUAGUUUUAAUAGUUAAUCUUAACUAUUCAAAAUUAUCAUAAUAUAAAGAAAUUAUCUAACUAUUAAAAUUUGUUAGAAUUAUAAAAACUCAAUCCAAUAAGUAUUUUUAAUAUCUAUUUUAAAAUUUUUUUGAUGUUCAAUCAAACAAAUUAAGUUUAUUUUAAAAAGUGUUUCAUAUGCAAC